GGGGGUUUAGCUCAGUUGGGAGAGCACCUGCCUUGCAAGCAGGGGGUCGAGGGUUCGAGUCCCUUAAUCUCCACCA
rnacentral:tRNA from 1 species